UACGGAGGAUGCGAGCGUUAUCCGGAUUUAUUAGGUUUAAAGGGUGUGUAGGCGGAAAGCUAAGUCAGUGGUGAAAUCUCUCGGCUCAACCGGGAAACUGCCAUAGAUACUGGUUUUCUUGAGUACAGUUGAAGUAGGCGGAAUGUGUAAUGUAGCGGUGAAAUGCUUAGAUAUUACACAGAACACCGAUUGCGAAGGCAGCUUGCUAAGCUGUUACUGACGCUGAUGCACGAAAGCGUGGGUAGCGAACAGGAUUAGAUACCCUGGUAGUCCACGCCGUAAACUAUGAUUACUCGUUGUUGGCGAUAUAUUGUCAGCGACUGAGCGAAAGCAUUAAGUAAUCCACCUGGGGAGUACGGCGGCAACGCUGAA
rnacentral:rRNA from 1 species